UUCCUACGGGAGGCAGCAGUGAGGAAUAUUGGUCAGUGGCCGGAAGGCUGAACCAGCCAAGCCGCGUGAAGGACGAAGGUGCCAAGCAUUGUAAACUUCUUUUGUCAAGGGACAAAAUCAGGCUCGAGAGCCUGACCGAGGGUACUUGAAGAAAAAGCAUCGGCUAACUCCGUGCCAGCAGCCGCGGUAAUACGGAGGAUGCAAGCGUUAUCCGGAUUUACUGGGUGUAAAGGGAGCGUAGACGGCGGUGCAAGCCAGAUGUGAAAGCCCGGGGCUCAACCCCGAGACUGCAUUUGGAACUGUAU
rnacentral:rRNA from 1 species